rnacentral:rRNA from 1 species
UACGUAGGGGGCAAGCGUUGUCCGGAUUUAUUGGGCGUAAAGAGCGUGUAGGCGGCCUGGAAGGUCAGCUGUGAAAACUCGAGGCUCAACCUCGAGACGUCGGUUGAAACCACUUGGCUAGAGUCCGGAAGAGGAGUGUGGAAUUCCCGGUGUAGCGGUGAAAUGCGCAGAUAUCGGGAAGAACACCCGUGGCGAAGGCGGCACUCUGGGACGGUACUGACGCUGAGACGCGAAAGCGUGGGGAGCGAACAGG